GAUGAAGAUGAAGUUUCUUUUCUAUUUUCCUUGGCAUCUGUUGAAUGCAAAUAUAUACAGCCUAGUUGGACUGCAAGAUAUGCAUCCGACCAUGCAAGCAUAACCCUCCAGUAUGUGAGCUGGACUAGAGGAAAGGUAAAGAAUUUUAAGGUGACUGCGAUAGGAUCAGCUCUGACAGGAGAUACCAAAGAACCUGAAUUCAGAACCUGGCAAGGGUUACGUAUUCUGUAUUCAAAGCAAUAGAUACAGCAAAACACCAAAACCAGGCACCGUAAAAUUCAGAGUGAAAGGACCUCCCCCACAACUAAUUUAACAAGAACUAAAUGAUGUCUCAGGUCUUAACUAUCCUAACUGGAUAAUAAAACUGUCGUCCCAAUCCUGCAAACCUUCUACAUGUGGAACUCUCACUGAUGUCUAUGGAAGUUCUGCAUGUGGAGAGCUUACAGAAUCAGGCCAUAAUGUGGUAUCCUUUCCUCUGAUUUGAUUCAGAUUAAAAGUUGAUGUAAAUGACACUAAG